UUAAACGGCCGCGGUACCCUAACCGUGCAAAGGUAGCAUAAUCAUUUGUCUAUUAAUUGUAGACCAGUAUGAAAGGCAAAAUGAGGAUCUAACUGUCUCUUAUAGUCAAUCAAUUAAACUGAUCUCCUAGUAAAAAAGCUAGAAUACCUCCAUAAGACCAGAAGACCCUGCGAAGCUUAAACAAAACUAUUAUACCCCAUAAUAACUACUUUAGGUUGGGGCGACCUUGGAAAAAAAAAGAACUUCCAAACAAAUGACCAUAAAUCAUUCACUAAGGCCCACAAGCCAAACUACAGACCCAGUCUAACUGAUAAACGAACCAAGUUACUCCAGGGAUAACAGCGCCAUCUUCUUUAAGAGCCCAUAUCAAAAAGAAGGCUUACGACCUCGAUGUUGGAUCAGGACAUCCUAAUGGUGCAGCCGCUA
rnacentral:rRNA from 1 species